GGCCUCCCUUAGAAUUCCAUGAUUCCAAGGCAGUUGGUCUCAACUGCUGCUUUAUGCUCUACACAAGAGAAAGCAGCCGUGCCAAAAGGAAGCAUAGCAUGAAAGCUGGCAUCUUAGGAGGACUCAAAAGACCUGAAGUCCAGAUGCAGUACAAGCAUUAUGUGGCACGCGCAACAGUGUAUGUUCCACAAACUGAAGCAGUCAAAUAGGCACAUGUAGGAUGAGAUGAUCCUUCAAUCAAACUGGUCCCAAUCUGUUAAGGACUUUAUGUACUAAUAGCAAAACCUUGAAGGCAUGGUUUAGAGAGUCAAAAAAAAUCAGAUUGCUUCUUAACAGAAUUUCACAGACUCUUCGCAGCUUGUUCAGAGUCAGAAUGAGUAAAGGGGUGGAUAUACCUUG